AAUCUAAUUAGAAUUAAUUAAGGGUGGGCUCCACUGUCAUACUAAUUAACUAACCGGUUAAAUAGACAACUAAUCUACUACCACUAUAAAAGAAAGAGAGGGGCAGAUCCAAACAAUCACAUCCAUUCAUCAUCAAAAUCUAAUGGCCCUUGAUCAUUAUGUGUUUAAUGCUGCCAACCACGCAAUAAGGCGCUAACAGUCCAUCUAUCGCUAACCCUACCCCGCAGUCAAAAGAAUAAAAGAAAAAACCGCUGCCCGCACGACCUCUCACCCCCUGCUCCUCGACCUCUCGCUCCCUGCUCCUCCUACCGCACCGUUCGCCGCCCCACAACCGCUCGCCGCUUCGCCGCCUUCCGCAGCCGCGUCCCUUCGCCGUCGCCCACCUACUGCCCUUCUCUCCCUGCACUUCUCCACCCUUACGCAGCCGCCGCCAGCGCCUUGUGCCCCAACGCCGCUAUCGCCAUCACCUCCUCCCCAUGGUCCGCGAGCUAGACGCGCUGCCGGGAAGAAUCCACCAUCUACGGCCUUGCGGCGCUCGCCGGGGACACCGCCGCCGCCGUCUCUAUCCUUUCCGGAUGCCUUUGUCUCCUCUCUACAGCGGCCUCCUCAUCUCUUCACGGCUGCUCCAGAGGUCGCCCCCUCGAGCAUCGCGUCCUCUUCCCCACCACCAACUCGCCGCCGCCUCCUCCCUUCGGUUCUCUCCUCGAAGCUCCAUCAAGUGGUCACUGCCGCCUGCUGCCUCUUCUCUCCUGCAGGACGACGCCUCCCCAUCCACCAUCUGCCGCCGCUGAACUGGGUGGCAGUUGCGGCCAUGGGGGAGUAGGGGUGGCAUGGUCUUCAUGGUCGUUAUGUACAAGAAGACGAGGACGGCAGUGGGGGGAACGAGCAGCCCAUUUGCGUUAUGUACAAGAAGACGAGGUCGUUAUGGAUUUGAGGAUGCAACUCACGGGCCACCAUCACCGUCCGCAAUCUGGGCUGCCCAUUUGCGUCUCGCCAUCUUCCUUCCCAAUACUUAACUUAGUUCUUUGACAGUCUAAUUUCAAUUUUGUCAAUUUAUGGCUUUUCUAGGCAAUGAUGUGAGACAGAAAAGAAGAGGAAGACGUUGGUGAAGGAGAGGGCAGCACAAAUGUACACCGCUGUGGCCAGGUUAUUUCAUACGACACAGCCACAGGUGAUGUACAUGAAUGACGGCAGAUGGUUGAGGAUUGAGGGAAUGUAGAUGCGACUAGCGAGCACUUACUCUGAGGUGCUUUCAGAUGAUGUGCUGUACUGUUUCAGCAUUAUUGUUUCAGCUGUACUGUUUGGACAAAAUUCUGAUUUUUCAACACUUGUUCCAUGUGCGAAUAUUCUGGGAGCACCAACUCCAACUGCUGACAAGGUGAAGCUUAUGAUCAGUACAGCUUUGUUUGACAUUUGGCUGGGCUAAAAAAAUAUCAAUGGGAGCUUUGGACGGUCCGAUUGCAUUAAUGCCUGUGGUUGCGAACGUGUAAGCCUGCAUCCCGUGAUCUUCUCUUUGACGGUUCGACUUUGCUUCCAUAUCUCCUCCUUCGGUCCUCCACAGCCUCCAUGACCAUUGUCCGUGCACAGCCGCCGUCUGCCGCAGCUUUGUCAAUCGUCCUUCUCAGGUGUCAGCGAUCUUAGCCGUGAGGAGCGAGCGACACACCGUUCCCGUUGACGCCGUCGUCCGUCGGCAUCCGGUAUUGCUGUACGCUAUACCUGUACUGAUUGUGAUUGGCGUCCCAUCCGACACCAGAACGAGAACCCCUUCAAUUUAAUGUGUUAGUCAUAGAUAUGGAUAUUGUUGACCAUAAAAAAGAACCUAUCAACAAGAGCCCGAAGGUCAUGUCGUUGGAAGAGACUAAAACCUCAGCAAGUUCUAUACAGCCUACAGAUGCGCAGAUAGAAAUAGCCAAUUUACGUCAUACCAAACCAAGAAGAGCAAAUACAAAUAUUACACC